UACGGGGGGAGCAAGCGUUGUUCGGAUUUACUGGGCGUAAAGGGUGCGUAGGCGGCGCUGCAAGUGCCUUGUGAAAUCCCAUCGCUUAACGAUGGAACUGCUCGGUAGACUGCAGUGCUUGAGGUUGGUAGGGGCUGCCGGAACUCUAGGUGGAGCGGUGAAAUGCGUAGAUAUCUAGAGGAACGCCCAAGGCGAAGGCAGGCAGCUGGGCCAAUUCUGACGCUGAGGCACGAAAGCGUGGGGAGCAAACGGG
rnacentral:rRNA from 1 species